CUUCCGGUUUCAUUGUGGAAGACAAGAACGCACGCUUCUUAGACAGCUGCAAUAGUAAGAAGCGGUGUGGUUUACUAUGGCGGUUAAAUUCGUGAUAUGCUUGUUUUCUAGUGGCUUUUGUGACACGUGAAAAGUUGUUGGGUUAUUUGAAAAAAGCAACUAAGCACUCAUUUGUCACAUGUUGCGUCAUUCUGCGUGACCAGACCGCAACGCUGGAAAAACGUGAAAGGAAUGAAUGUCAGAUCGCAGGGAGCAUGGCUAGCCACGUGGCUAAGUCGAGCAUGGCCUACCACGUGUCUUCAUGAAGCGAAAUUGGCCUUGAUGUCUUGAAGUCCGCUGCUUGACACAAAGCAAAGUAAAUAUUUAAAUAAAAUACUCUCCCCAAAGUA